rnacentral:rRNA from 1 species
AGACCAGACUCCUACGGGAGGCAGCAGUGGGGAAUAUUGCACAAUGGGGGGAACCCUGAUGCAGCGACGCCGCGUGAGUGAAGAAGUCAUUCGUGAUGUAAAGCUCUAUCAGCAGGGAAGAAAAUGACGGUACCUGACUAAGAAGCCCCGGCUAACUACGUGCCAGCAGCCGCGGUAAUACGUAGGGGGCAAGCGUUAUCCGGAUUUACUGGGUGUAAAGGGAGCGUAGACGGCAGCGCAAGUCCGAAGUGAAAGCCCGGGGCCCAACCCCGGGACUGCUUUGGAAACUGUGAAGCUGGAGUGCGGGAGGGGCAGGCGGAAUUCCUGGUGUAGCGGUGAAAUGCGUAGAUAUCAGGAGGAACACCGGCGGCGAAGGCGGCCUGCUGGACCGUAACUGACGUUGAGGCUCGAAAGCGUGGGGAGCAAACAGGAUUAGAUACCCCCGUACA